rnacentral:rRNA from 1 species
GACGAACGCUGGCGGCGCGCUUAACGCAUGCAAGUCGAGCGAGAUCCAGGCCUUCGGGCCUGGGGACAGCGGCGAACGGGUGAGUAACACGUGGGUAAUCAACCCUCGACACUGGGAUAGCCCGGGGAAACCCGGAUCAAUACCGGAUGGCCCUUUGGAUCUUCGGAUCUGACGGGAAAGGUAGCUUCGGCCUCCGGUCGAGGACGAGCCCGCGGCGGAUUAGCUUGUUGGUGAGGUAACGGCUCACCAAGGCGACGAUCCGUAGCUGGUCUGAGAGGACGAUCAGCCACACUGGGACUGAGACACGGCCCAGACUCCUACGGGAGGCAACAGUGGGGAAUCUUGCGCUAAUGCGGGAAACCGUGACGCAGCGACGCCGCGUGAGGGAAGAAGGCCUUCGGGUUGUAAACCUCUUUCAGGAGGGACGAAGCCACUCGGGUGGAUAGCCCAGAGGGUGACGGUACCUCCAGAAGAAGCCCCGGCUAACUACGUGCCAGCCGCCGCAGUAA